CAAAACAUUGUCAACUCAGCAGAAAAAAAGGUUCAAAUUUGUUUUGGUUAAAAAUAUAUUUAAUAUUGAGUCAAAAAUACUUAUAUUGUCGCUAUUCAAUUGAGAAGCCACAACGCUCACAUUCGAAGUAAAAAUCCAAAUUUAGUGGAAUAAAAGCAGAACUGCUCAGUGAAACUUAUAAAAAUAAACGAGGUUUUAAUAAUUGAUAUCCACAAUGGAAGGAUUUUCAUCCAAUGAUAAACGAAACGGCAAAAUGGCACAAAAUGCCAUACGUCAACAAAGAGAAGCGAAGAGCAUCAGCGUUCAAUCGAACAAUCCGAUUAAAAGAACAGACGAAUCAAUUCUAUUUGGGGAAAAUCGUCAUGUAUCCAGAUUUAGAGGACCUUCUCAAUGCGAACAAACAUCUUCAACUUGCAACUCAUUCAGCUUUCGCUCGACAAAAUCCAAUAAAAAUCAUUAACAUCGCGUUGAGACAUGAUCAUUUUGGUGAAAAAAUUUGUAAAUGCAAGUCUGUUCGAUCAUAAAGAUAUCUUUCUGAGAUUUCAAAACUACCUUGCAAAUGUUACGCUGCUUUGGUCAUAUUUAUAUGAAAUCUCCAGUUGGUUAACAUCGAAUUAUGGUACACUACCAGCGGAUUCAAUCGUCAAGAAAUUACUCGCGUUAUAAACUAUAUAAACGAAUAUUAUGCCGAGUCUUUGAUUAGAAUUGUAAUGAAUAUGGGACGGACACUUGAAGAAUUCAAGAAACCAUUUCCCAAUAUAAAAUCAAUCGUUUUGUUUAGUUCUUUAUUAGAAAACUUCAAAAAUUCUUCGAAAAUCAGAAAAACCAAUUAAUUUUGCUAGCUGCAUUCUUUGUACUUUUUCCUGCUUGCUCUUCGGAUUAAAGAUGUUCGUUUUACACAGUUAGGCUUUUGUCAACAGUCUCACAUAGCUUUCAGUGUACAAAUAAAUUGUCAAGAUUUGAACUAA